CCAGGGCCCGAGUUACUUGGAGGAGAGGCAGAUGGCUGUGGGCUAAUUCCUGAAGUGCACUUCUGGGGACCAUCAGCCCCGGCUCCCAGGGUGACAUCCCGCACAGGGCUACAGAUCUGGAAAUAGCAGCUCAGUGACAUGAGGAAGUGGCUUUCUCCAAUGGGGGCUGUGCUGGGCUUCUUCUAAGGACACUGGGAAACAUUUCAAGAUGAUGCCAUCGAUGAAGACUCUGUAUGCACUCUUUUGGGGAAGAGGACAACAGGAUCUCUCUUUGUUCUUGGGAACUCCGUAUGUGGCAGGCUUGUGUGUGCAGGUGCCCACCUUUAUGUGGCCAAACAGAGACAUGUCUAAACUGGUUUUAUAGGACUUGGAGGAAAUGCCCUAAAUAGAAAAACUGGGAGAAUAAAAUCUGUAUUGCCUUUGUGAAAAGGAAAGCAAGAAGGUGAUAGGAGAGCCACAAACAAAGGAAAAUUUUCCUUAGCCCUGUUCAACAGAGACUGGAAUUUGGUAAGAGCCAGUUCACCGUGAGCCCCACAGAGGGGUCUGAUGACUAAAAAAUUAAAAGGAUGCUGUCAUCAGGCUGCUUUCCUGAGAGGCAGUCUUACCAGACAGCCCUUGAAGACCAGAAGGGGGAGUUUCCAGUCAUCCUUGACACUUUCUCCUAGUGGAAUAGGGCAGAUGAAAAUGAGGUCUGAGAGCAAAAGUCAUCCAGCCUGGGGUUCAGCUCUAUGCAGAGCACCAGACACAGCUUCGGCUUCCAAAUGGGACUGGCUUUUAUUUCUAGAACUGAUAGAGGUGGCGGAGAAAGUUUCAUCCCAGACGCACAUCUGAGGGCAAUCUGGUUGAAGCUGGAAGCAGGCAUGCCCAUCCUUUCCUACUGCUGUCUUUAGGCCACUAACCCCUGAACUCUGCCCAGGAGCCCUUCUCCAUCUGGAGGGAUGUUGGCUGGUGGUCCAUCCUCUCCUCAUCCUCAGUCCCCCAUCUAUGGAUCUCCAGGUCAUCUCUCUAUAUAUUCCCCUAGGGUAAGAGGCUCCAUAUUGCCAGCCUCUCCAUAUUCUCCACCCUCUAUGCUCUUCCUCCAUUCUGCCUCCUGCUGUCAUCCCCAGAGGCCUCAACAUCCACUGGGACGACCCUUACCUCCUGUACUGUGGCCUGCCUGUUCCUUUCAAG